rnacentral:tRNA from 1 species
AUUAAGGUGACAGAUUAGUGUGAAGGAUUUAAGAUUCUUUUAGGAAAAUUUAAAUUAAGUUUUCUCUUAAUA